rnacentral:rRNA from 1 species
UACACUCCUGCGGGAGGCAGCAGUAGGGAAUCUUCCACAAUGGGUGCAAACCUGAUGGAGCAAUGCCGCGUGAGUGAAGAAGGUCUUCGGAUCGUAAAGCUCUGUUGUUAGAGAAGAACACGUGCUAGGUAACUACUAGCGCCUUGACGGUAUCUAACCAGAAAGUCACGGCUAACUACGUGCCAGCAGCCGCGGUAAUACGUAGGUGACAAGCGUUGUCCGGAUUUAUUGGGCGUAAAGGGAGCGCAGGCGGUCUGUUUAGUCUAAUGUGAAAGCCCACGGCUUAACCGUGGAACGGCAUUGGAAACUGACAGACUUGAAUGUAGAAGAGGAAAAUGGAAUUCCAAGUGUAGCGGUGGAAUGCGUAGAUAUUUGGAGGAACACCAGUGGCGAAGGCGAUUUUCUGGUCUAACAUUGACGCUGAGGCUCGAAAGCGUGGGGAGCGAACAGGAUUAGAAACCCUAGUAGUCCCA